CGACAUUGAACAGCAGCCUUCCAUGGCAGC
rnacentral:sRNA from 1 species